UCUUCACACACGCGGCAUGGCUGGAUCAGGGCUUUCGCCCAUUGUCCAAUAUUCCCCCACUGCUGCCUCCCGUAGGAGUCUGGACCGUGUCUCAGUUCCAGUGUGACUGAUCAUCCUCUCAGACCAGUUACGGAUCGUCGCCUUGGUGAGCCAUUACCCCACCAACUAGCUAAUCCGACCUAGGCUCAUCUGAUAGCGCAAGGCCCGAAGGUCCCCUGCUUUCUCCCGUAGGACGUAUGCGGUAUUAGCGUUCCUUUCGAAACGUUGUCCCCCACUACCAGGCAGAUUCCUAGGCAUUACUCACCCGUCCGCCGCUGAAUCAAGGAGCAAGCUCCCGUCAUCCGCUCGACUUGCAUGUGUUAGGCCUGCCGCCAGCGUUCAAUCUGAGCCAGGAUCAAACCCUC
rnacentral:rRNA from 1 species